CCCAUAGCAGAGUGCAAUACAAUCUACUACGAUGAAGUUCUUCGCUAUCUGCGCUCUUUUGAUCCUCGCCUUGGCAUCCGUCCAGGGUGAGCCCAAGCCAAUUUCACCCAGAGUAAUCAAAAGUGCCCAAGGAAAAUAAUAAACCUUCACUGGAGACACAAGCGACUAGAGAUUUUUCGAUCAAUGUCUUUUUAUACAAUGAAAAUAAAAUAAUCAGCACAGGCAUAUUAAAAAAGUGUUUAUAUCUAAUUACCAGGUGAAUUUCUAUUUUUAUUGAGCUAAAUGCUGGGCAAGAUUCGAAGCUAAAAUUUUAAUUACUACCUGCCGGUCAACUUGUAUUAAUCGAGAACGUAAAAAGUCAUCUAUUAUACAUAUUUAAAACAGUCCGGUUUACCAAGUGCGUUUUUGGUAUAAAAGGCAGUGCAUUAUUCACAUUCAGUAAAAAAACAGUCGAAAUGAGGUUCUUUGCGGUCUGCUCCUUCUUACUCCUGGCAGUGGUCGCCGUAAUGGCGAAUCCCAAGCCUUUAACCCCGAAGACGAUAAAAGUUGUCCAGUGAACUGGCUGUUUAAACUAUAACUUGUUUUUAAUGAAAUAAUAAGUGUAGUCUUAGAAGACAAGUUGAAUUUACUAAAUGCCAAUUAGCACCGACAACAACGUUUGUUAACCUGUUUUGAUUAAUAUGCAUUGUCUUAAACAUUCUGCCUAAUAAAAUGAUUAAACCAGUUGUGACGAAAUAAUUUCGAAAUGGGAAACAGAAAUUGCGAAUAUUGGCCUUAGAGUGAAGUUUAAGUCUUAAGAAUAAAGUUGGAGUUUAGACAAUCUGAAAAGAUUGUUAAAAGUGUAUCAAAGAAUAAGGAUUCCCUUUUAAUUUCGGGUUCAACAUGUGAAAGUUUUAAUCAUUUAAUGGUGGCAUAAUAAGAGCAAUUAGCAACUUUGAAAUCUCAACAUCGCAUGUCAGCGCAGUUGUGGUCAUUACGAUAAUUUAACGAGUGCCCAGCCGUGAUUUUUAAUGAUAUUCAUGAGUUUUAUAUUGGCGUAGUCUUCAGCAAGAUAAAGGCGCGUAACAAAAAAAAAAAAAAAGGGAAAAUAAUAUAAUAAAAUAAAAGCACCACCCCAGGUGGGUGGGUCUCCAGCUGGAGAAGGGGGACUUGGGGCGUGGACUUGGCGUUGUGGUCACGCGCUUUCAUGCCCGCCAAGAAUGUGGGCCAGCUCGGCUUUAUGGUACGAGUAUUGCCUGUGGUGUCGUAUGAAAUGCGCUCGGAAUUCGCCAGCAGCAGAAGUGAACAAAAAAUAAGGAAAAUAUAUACGUAUGUAUAUCGGACAGAGCUUGUUGUCCACUCCUCCUAACUCCUUCCAUCUCCUGCCUCCUGGCAGAUCCCUGCCUCGUCCUGCGCCUGUGAUAAUCGCCCCGCUGGCUGCCUGACAGGCAAACAAUGCUGUGAAUUUGAUUAAAAUCAGCCAGCGUGUGCGUCUCCACUUGGCCGCUCCUCGAGCUCCUCCAGUUGCUUCGUCCGCCUCGGACUUGUGUCGUUAUUGGAGCACUCCCAGCCACAUGUAGCAGUACUAAGACCGACUCAUGACCAUCUCUUUUGUUGCCCCACCUGGCUGCAGGCGGUGCUGCGGUGGUUCCACUAAUUGCGAAUCGCCAAAUUUGGCCUGGGAAAGUCGCCAGUCACCCUGGAUAUAUGGACGCUUUAAAAUAGCUCAUGCUGAAUUUGGCUUCCAAUGCAUAACCAUCAUUAGUGGGCUGGGAAGAUGGGGCAUUCUGGGGGCAGGAAAAUGCAUUUCUUUAUGCGCUGCUGUGGCUGCUAAUGAGCUGCAGAUGCCUGGGCGACAAUUGGGCCGCUUUUCCUGCACAUUCUCAUUGAGAAAAACAGCAGGCUAGAAUGCCAGUUUUUUUCACUGGCAAUCUUGUGCAUUUCAAAUGAGGCUAACAGCUAAUUAGAUGCCAGGAGUCGUGCCCGCUCGCCGCAGAGAAAUCCAUCGUCCUUUUCCUGCAGUUUCGUUGGAGCGCUGAAUUUUUCCCCUGGACUGCACACAGGAGGCUCUUCAGAUGAAUGGUCGCGUGGUGGGGUUUCCUUCUGGAAAGAGCCAAGAGUCUUCCCCAGGAUCAUCCACACGGCGAAGCGAAACGGAUGUUCUCGUGCAGCGUUGGCUCCGGUCCUGAUUUCCCACCCACCCAGUUCAUCCGCUUUCCCACACCCACCCAGCCAGGUCAUUGUGAAUCUCGCUUUUUCCUGCCAGGAUGGGUGUGUGUAUGUAUGUGUGUGUGUGUGUGUGUGUGAGCGAGAAGGCGAGGGGGCAGCAAAAUGUUAAUAAAUCUUAUUUUUAUCAUUUGGCUAUAAAUACUGAAUUUUUAGCUCCGGCCAUGCUCAAUUUAUGGCCAUUAUUUAUGUCGAAAAAGCGAAAACCUCAAACAUGUUGCCACACUUUUUGCCCCCUGCCUCCACCGCCGCUUCAGGAUCCUUUUUGGCCUGCAUUGUGCAUCCAUUUUAUUUGCCGUUUCGGCCAAGAGAAAGAAAGAUACACAAGCCAUAUUAUUGCAAUUUUCCAGUUGUUCCGCCCACGCCGCAGUUUCAAGGAAAGGCAAGAAACCAAACCAAACCGAAUGAAAUAUGAAAAAUUGCAUUACACCUUAAUAAACACCUCACCUGGCGAGCAACUCGGCAGAGUGGGAGUGGGCUUGGAGCUGCUCGAGCUGCAUCCGACGGCUCGGUAUGGGGGCUAUAUACAUAUCUCCCCAAUCGCGAGCGGAGCACCAGCUUUUGCAGCUGUGUGCGCCCCAAAGUUUGGCCAUAAUGAAGAUUGUCUCCGGCUUAAGUGGACGCACGUUGCUCAGCCGCUGGAUAGCUGGGCACUACACAGAUGGAUGGCAAGACAGGCACAGUUGAUGGACACUAAGAAAAAUUGCCGAUUCGUGAUUUAAAAAGAAAUAAAAAUAUAAAAAUAUAAAAUAA